CCACCUACGGGGCGCAGCAGUGGGGAAUAUUGCACAAUGGGGGAAACCCUGAUGCAGCGACGCCGCGUGAGCGAGGAAGUACCUCGGUAUGUAAAGCUCUAUCAGCAGGGAAGAAGAUGACGGUACCUGAGUAAGAAGCCCCGGCUAACUACGUGCCAGCAGCCGCGGUAAUACGUAGGGGGCAAGCGUUAUCCGGAUUUACUGGGUGUAAAGGGAGCGUAGACGGCUGCGCAAGUCUGAAGUGAAAGCCCGGGGCUCAACCCCGGGACUGCUUUGGAAACUGUGUAGCUAGAGUGAUGGAGAGG
rnacentral:rRNA from 1 species